rnacentral:lncRNA from 1 species
UGCAUUUUUCUGAAUUGUGUGUCAUCCCAGCAAGCUUUGAGCACUCUGGAUUCUGAGUUAGGAACAAGUCAUCUUGAGAAGCAUCUUUCGCUGUAUUCUAUGAAAGAGAAAGUUACUAUGUUUCAUCGUGAAAACCAGCCAGUACGAUGAAGGUUGGGGAGUUCUGUAGAAGAUUUACCUGAGAGAACUUAAGGGGAAUAUCUGAAGUCAACUGUACCUUGAGGGCAAGUUAAGAAAAAGGUCAUAUCCUAUUCUUGUAAAAGGUGAGCCAGAAAUUUCUAGGUUAAGAGGUUUUUCAAAUUGGUUUUAUUCAGUUGAUUUCAUUCGAUAUUGGCUCCCCUAAAGAAUUUUGUAUGGU